AAACAAGCAACAAAGUAGACGCAGCGAUUACUCUUUAUCCCAACUGGUAACAGAUAAUGACAUGAUCUCGAUUUUUUUUUGUUGCAGACAAAACAGAAGCUGAAUUUGUUGCGUACUUUUCAACUCGUGAAUAAUCAAUUAUUACUAACUCAAAAUCGAAACUUUUUGAUGAUACAUCUUCAGCAGCGUUGCAGUGUUUACCGACAUGAAGUUACCGCUCGAAAAUCAUAAUGCAAGGCUUAAAAAUCUCUAAACUCGUGGUGCACGAUCGUUGUUCUAUUCUGUUCAAGUUGGGACAAACGUAUGUCGCAUUAGGUAGAAUAUCGCAACAAAUUCAGGUUGCGACAUUGUCGUUAUUGUUGCGCGAUGGUUCAAUUUUGAUUUACUGGCGUACCGGUGCCCUGCGGUCGAGAUCGACCCUUACAGCGAUUAAGUGGCCACGGAGAGGAAGUCCCGGUAGCGGUGCUGUCGUGGCGUCGGUCUACUGGGUUGGAUCCGAGCCCGCGGUUGGAAAGGAGUCCCCGGCAAGCAGUUGGGCGCGGGCGGGGUUGACCCUGCCCGCCUUCCGAGGGCAAAGGGAGUGGUGAGGACCACUCGGGAAACUGGCUAAGCGCCAGCAUGCUACCGUGGCAAAGCGAGUCAUCGAUGUUCGUUGCUGCAGGCUACGCAGCUUACCUUGAGGGUGCGAUGUGCACUUGCCCCUCUCUGAAGCAAUGCCUUCUUGGUGGUUCCGGAGAGACGAAGGGUUUGGCGACCAUAGGAAUGUGUUUUAGUGGGUCGAGAAGAGAGUAGUCCUGGCUUUUACUACUGUUGUAGAAGACGGCCUUAACCCCACACUACCCUAACCUUCCUGUUAGGGUGUUUGUUGAGCAGAUUUUCCCCCCUAU